rnacentral:lncRNA from 1 species
GACGAGGGACCUUUACUCCGACAACCACCCUUUACUAAGCCCAGAGCGCGAUGCUCGACCAGGGCAAGUCCUAAACUUUCCUUUUAAAUUUUCCAUUUUACCCCUUUUCCAUCACUCACGGAUUUAUACCGGUGCACUCAUCGAAAUACUAUGUUCUACUGUUGUCCCGUCCCGAGUCCUCAUGCAAUGAUAAAAUCAAUGAUAAAGGAAGAACAUGCAUGAAUA